UUUCCUUCCUGGAUUCCAGAAUCUUUGUAACAAGUGUAAGUUUGGAACCAACUGACUGAGCUUGCUCUGUCUCUCUCUCUCUCUCUUCCUCCCUUCCUCCCUUCCUUUCUUCCUUUCUUCUUUCCAUGUAGUCUUCCUCUGUCACCCAGGCUGGAGUGCAGUGGGCAAUCUCAGUUCACUGCAACCUCUGCAAGCAAUUCUCCUUACUCUGCCUUUGGAGUAGCUGGGAUUAUGGGUGUGCACCACCAUGCCCAGCUAAUUUUUGUAGUUUUAGUAGAGAUGGGGUUUCACCAUGUUUGCCAGGCUGGUCUCAAACCCCUGGCCUCAAGUGAUCUGCCUGUCUCUGCAUCCCAAAAUGUUGGGAUUACAGGCAUGAGCCACCGCACCCCGCCAGAGUGAUUCAAGUUGACAGAUUCAGAGUAAGAAAAGAACUUCCAGGUUAAACAAUCUUUGCGUUGUUUUCGGCAUAUCCAUCAGAAAAUCCAGCUAAGAAGUUUAAUUGGCCAGCAAAAAAAUUGGUGAUAUCAUCAAAUAUGUGGAAGUUGAAGCCUUAGGAUUAAAUGAGUUUCCUAAAGAAAAUGCUGAGAAUGAAGAAAAGAAUCAAACACUGGGGAUAUUCACAAUUCAAAGCGAUUCUGAGACAAACUUUACUGAAGAUAUAUCUGAGGGGGAAAAAAAGCAUAACCAGAAAAGAACGAAGAGAAAAUGCAAUCCAAGAGAGAUCUUUCAAGGAGACAACAUGACCCAGAGUAGAGCAACCCUCAAGCAACGGUCUGAAAAGAAAGAGAACAGAAACUCAAGCCACGAUUGUACCACAGUGGAUAUUCAAACUUACACUAUGAGUCUUUGUUUUUCUGUCAGUUUUAAGUUAGUUGUUUUUUAAGCAUUACUUAGACUAAGAAUAUGGAUAAGUACUUAUACCUGAGUUUGACAAGCUUAAAUGCUAUUUCCUUCACACCAAGAAGGAGAAUAUAAUCAAUUAUAACUCAUGACCUGCUUCAAGUGUAAUAAUAACUGAUGCUAAUAAGGAUCAAAAGAGUGACUCCUCAGUGACCAUCAGGAGCCUAAUUCUAGUCAUUCCAUUGCUGAUAAUAUUAAUGUGGAAAGUUAAGCAAAUGAACCCAUUAAGCAUAUUGAAAACUCAGCAAUAGUCUCAAAAUAGAUGAAUAACAUAACGUGGUAAUUCAUCAGGACUCUCAUUCUGGGAAAUUUAAUUAAGCAUUCUCUCACCUAAAAUACACACAAUUCAGUUUACUAUUAUGCUUCUUGAAGCACAAUACAAAUGAACUUUUUAUGAAGCAAGAGCAAAAAAUACUUUACUGUUUUUUUCCUUUUUACACCUAACAAAUGCUUCAGUUUAGGAAUGUCUCUAGUACUCAAAGAAAGAAUUGUCAUUCGUGAUUAGAGUAUGCUUAAAAUUUAUAAAAUUCUCAAUUGGCCUCUUAUACUCUAUGUUGCCUCUUAAAAAUACAAAAGAAAAUGGAUGAAAGCUGAGAAUUAACAUACAGAAGCAGAGACAUAAUAGCAGAGACAGAAAAAGGCAAGAAGUAAAGAAACAAAAUAAUGAAAAAAUAAUUAGUUGUGGGAAUUGAGUAAAUGAAACUUUUUUCAUUACAUAACACCUAGCUUAAUACCUUCUCUGUGGAACAUAUGUUGAAAGGCCACUUGGAUUACCUCUUCUAGUCUAUCUCCAUUACCCCACCACCACCACCAUUUUUAAACUGUGCAAAGAUGGUAAUAUGCAGUUUAUGUCUCCUUUUUAAUGCUUUUGCCAUAAUAUUUCAUUUUUAUGCUUAUUUAUUUUUUCAGCUAGAUUGCUCUACCGAAACAGAUGUACAUCAAUAUUUAUAUCAAUAUGUAUUAAUAUGUAUAACAAUUUGCAUUAAUAUGUAUAUGAAUUCUGUAACCUUAUUGUAUAAGGCUACAGAAUUCAUUUGGCUUUAUUUUGCUUUGUUUUUCACAGUUUGGAUGGAUUUGGGGUGAUAAAAAAGUUAAUAACUGGAGAGUUCAAACUCUGUUAAGUAUGUGUCUAAAAUUAUUUAUAACUUUUCAGUGUAAUAAUAAAAAGACCCACACAUUUUUUCAUAGAUUGCUUUUGUUCUUAUUGGUGUACUUGAUUAAUCUUGUACUGGUAUAGUCUAAUUUUCAAUUCGUUAUUUCUUAAAAUAGCUUCAAAUCUUUAAAGCUAAUUAGGCAUUUUAAACAAAUAAGCACAUCUUUUUUUACUAAUUUGCUUGUUUGCUCAUUUUUCUUGGAGAAAUUAAAAUCACCUUUGUUUUUAUAAUGAAAGUAAUUUAGUAUGAAAAGAGAUGAAGCUCACUUGGAGAUUUCCUUCUCUGCCCAGCACUCAUGCAUGGAUCUAUUAAACCUAAAACUGACAAUUACAAUAAAAUACUUAAAUAUUUAAGUAUCAUCAUCGCAGACAAAAUACUAGAAAUAUUAUAAGUAUGUGCCACAAAACAUACUACAUAGGAAUUUUGUAAAGGAAUACUUUUCAAGCACAGGUACAUGCAAAGCUGAUGAUUUCUGACAUUGUGAAGACCAAAAUGACUUGUUUUUUGAAUGUGGGAAGGAUUGGACAUGGUGAAGUUUAAAGAAUUUUCAUAAUAUGCUUAAUAAUAAACAUGUGCAAACAGAACUUUAAAUAAUGCUUAGCGUUAAGAAGAAAUAUUUUUGAACUGAGCACUGUGUGAACCUGACUGGAGUAACAGCAGAUAUUCAAUAAAGCCUUCAUAUGUAAUGGUAACUUUAGAAGAUUUGGGAAAAUGGAAUUUGGAAAAAGUUUGAGACAUGUGCAAAGUCUAAAGAAUCUCUCCAAGAGCUUCCGAAUCUCUUAGGAGUUCCUACACUUUGAUUUUUAGGGUAGAUCUUAAUGAAAGGGCAAAAUGAAUGAAUAAAGUUUUCCUAUUUUUAAAGACAUUUCACUACAUGCACACAGCCACCCACACAUAUGUUAUCUCUAUGUAAAUGUACAAGUACACAUACACACAUAUGUAGGUGCCUAUGUGAAUAUGCACUAGUCAUGUACUUACAUAUGUGUAUGUAUAUGUGAAUAUACACAAGGUAUUUAUAUGUAUUUGUAUGAUCUCUAAGCCAAACAGAUACCCUGAAAGGUAAAAGAAAAAUCCAACCUAUCGAUUCUGUGGUAUGUUAGUAUUUUGAUUCCCCUUGGCAAUUCAAAUAUCAUUUUUCAAGAAACAUUUUCAAUUAUUUUAAAAUAAAUUUUCAGCUUUAUUACAAAAGUCUUCUCACACAUUGAGGUAUACUAAAGUGUAAACACAAAUUUUAAAAUUUAAAUUUGACACAAUACCUAAAAUCCCCUUCAAAUUUUCAGUUCCUCCCUUGUCUUUGCAGUGAUACAUCCCAGUGUCUUCCUAUAGGAAACAUUGUUUUGUAUAAUCACAAUUUGCUAAAAGCUUAAAAGAUGACGUUUUUAGUGCUCCAUUUGAGACUACUUUAAUUAAAUAUUUCAACUUGGUAUUGAACAUUAUGGAACUACAAUUUAAAGACUUACUGUCAAAAAGUCAAACACCAUUUUAGGACAUUUAGUCUGAUUUUAAAUAUAUCUUUUGAAAAGCUCGAAAAGUUCUAAAAUCCAGUUUAUGAUGAACAACAGACAGAGAAGUUAUGUACUGCAAUGCUCAAGUGGUUUUUAGCAUGCAGUAUCAACUGUAACAAAAGUUUGUAUUUCAGUAACUGUCAGUGUAUAAAUAUAACUAUAGCUUUUACUUUGAUUUCAGAAUAUCACACAAUUUUGGAUAUAAUUAUAAAUUAUGUUUGUUCUACAAGCUAUUUAAAAUUAUUUCAAAUUAUUGGUUACUCAAUUAAGGUCUUUUUUUAACCAAAAAAAAGCUUUGUCCCAUCAAUUUUAAUGUUUAUUAUAAUAAUUUGAUCUUCAAUAUUGAACUUUUUAAAGUGAAGUUUUGCAGUAACUUCUUUUCAAGUAAUUUCUGAUGCUUCAAAACGAAUUUCCAACAAAACAGAAUUUUAUCACACAAAAUUUUCUAUGAAAAAUUCAAGCCACUCUUGCAUCUUAUACAAUUCAUUUUCUCUUUGGAGAAUCUGAUGGUACCAAUAUAAAAAUUGGUUAUUUAUAUGUUUUCAAAUUUCCUCCUUGGUUAAUGAGGCCAACACAUUAACAGUCAUUGUUUCAUGCUUUGUAUGUGCAGAGGAAAACUUAGAAUUAAAAAUGAAUGAAUAUAAUUUUUAAAAAGGGUCUCUGUUUAAAUAAAAUAUGUAGUUUCAUAGAGCAUUAUUGUAAAUGCACCUUCUGCUUCUGCAUACGUAUAAUAUCUCUUUGGGGAGAGCCAGUUUCUUAAAUUAACUACUAACUUUUGAAAUAAAUGCUAAUACUUCU
rnacentral:lncRNA from 10 species